AGAGUUUGAUCCUGGCUCAGAACGAACGCUGGCGGCGUGCUUAACACAUGCAAGUCGAACGCGAAAGUUUUCUUCGGAAGACGAGUAGAGUGGCGCACGGGUGAGUAACGCGUAAAUGAUCUACCCCUGCAUCCGGGAUAACCCACCGAAAGGUGUGCUAAUACCGGAUACGUUCUUUAAACUGCGAGGUUUAAAGAAGAAAGGUGGCCUCUGAUAUAAGCUACUGUGCGGGGAGGAGUUUGCGUACCAUUAGCUAGUUGGUAGGGUAAUGGCCUACCAAGGCAACGAUGGUUAGCGGGUCUGAGAGGAUGAUCCGCCACACUGGAACUGGAACACGGACCAGACUCCUACGGGAGGCAGCAGUGAGGAAUACUGCGCAAUGGGGGCAACCCUGACGCAGCGACGCCGCGUGGAUGAUGAAGGCCUUCGGGUCGUAAAAUCCUGUCAGAUGGAAAGAAAUGUAUAUGUAUUAAUACUAUGUAUGCUUGACGGUACCAUCAAAGGAAGCACCGGCUAACUCCGUGCCAGCAGCCGCGGUAAUACGGAGGGUGCAAGCGUUGUUCGGAAUUACUGGGCGUAAAGCGCGCGUAGGUGGUCUGUUAUGUCAGAUGUGAAAGUCCACGGCUCAACCGUGGAAGUGCAUUUGAAACUGGCAGACUUGAGUACUGGAGGGGGUAGUGGAAUUCCCGGUGUAGAGGUGAAAUUCGUAGAUAUCGGGAGGAAUACCGGUGGCGAAAGCGACUACCUGGCCAGAUACUGACACUGAGGUGCGAAAGCGUGGGGAGCGAACAGGAUUAGAUACCCUGGUAGUCCACGCCGUAAACGAUGUCAACUAGGUGUUGGGAUGGUUAAUCGUCUCAUUGCCGCAGCUAACG
rnacentral:rRNA from 1 species